CCCCCCCUGGCGUAGUUGGUCUGCGCGCUCGGCUGAAGCCCGAGAGGUUCUGGUUCGAUUCCAGAGGGUGGGA
rnacentral:tRNA from 1 species